CCUACGGGUGGCAGCAGUAGGGAAUCUUUCACAAUGGGCGAAAGCCUGAUGGAGCAACGCCGCGUGCAGGAUGAAGGCCUUCGGGUUGUAAACUGCUUUUAUAAGCGAGAAAUAUGAUGGUGACUUAUGAAUAAGGAUCGGCUAACUACGUGCCAGCAGCCGCGGUCAUACGUAGGAUCCGAGCAUUAUCCGGAGUGACUGGGUGUAAAGAGUUGCGUAGGUGGCAUAAUAAGUAGCUAGUGAAAUCUGGUGGCUCAACCAUUCAGACUAUUAGCUAAACUGUUAAGCUCGAGACCGUUAGGGGUAACUGGAAGUUCUAGUGUAGGAGUGAAAUCCGUAGAUAUUAGAAGGAACACCAAUAGCGUAGGCAGGUUGCUGGGACGGUUCUGACACUAAGGCACGAAAGCGUAGGGAGCAAACGGGAUUAGAUACCCCAGUAGUC
rnacentral:rRNA from 1 species